rnacentral:rRNA from 2 species
GAGGGGGACCGUUUGCUCGGAUGAUUGGGCGUAAGGGCUCGCAGGCGGUUUCUUAAGUCUGAUGUGAAAGCCCCCGGCUCAACCGGGGAGGGUCAUUGGAAACUGGGAAACUUGAGUGCAGAAGAGGAGAGUGGAAUUCCACGUGUAGCGGUGAAAUGCGUAGAGAUGUGGAGGAACACCAGUGGCGAAGGCGACUCUCUGGUCUGUAACUGACGCUGAGGAGCGAAAGCGUGGGGAGCGAACAGGAUUAGAUACCCUGGUAGUCCACGCCGUAAACGAUGAGUGCUAAGUGUUAGGGGGUUUCCGCCCCUUAGUGCUGCAGCUAACGCAUUAAGCACUCCGCCUGGGGAGUACGGUCGCAAGACUGAAACUCAAAGGAAUUGACGGGGGCCCGCACAAGCGGUGGAGCAUGUGGUUUAAUUCGAAGCAACGCGAAGAACCUUACCAGGUCUUGACAUCCUCUGACAACCCUAGAGAUAGGGCUUUCCCUUCGGGGACAGAGUGACAGGUGGUGCAUGGUUGUCGUCAGCUCGUGUCGUGAGAUGUUGGGUUAAGUCCCGCAACGAGCGCAACCCUUGAUCUUAGUUGCCAGCAUUCAGUUGGGCACUCUAAGGUGACUGCCGGUGACAAACCGGAGGAAGGUGGGGAUGACGUCAAAUCAUCAUGCCCCUUAUGACCUGGGCUACACACGUGCUACAAUGGACAGAACAAAGGGCUGCGAGACCGCAAGGUUUAGCCAAUCCCACAAAUCUGUUCUCAGUUCGGAUCGCAGUCUGCAACUCGACUGCGUGAAGCUGGAAUCGCUAGUAAUCGCGGAUCAGCAUGCCGCGGGUGAAAUACGUUCCCGGGGCCUUGUACACACCGCCCGUCACACCACGAGAGUUUGCAACACCCGAAGUCGGUGAGGUAACCUUUAUGGAGCCAGCCGCCGAAGGUGGGGCAGAUGAUUGGGGUGAUUAGAAAGAAAACCCACAAAAAAAAAAAAAAAAGGGAGGGGUCCCCCCAA